GACAUUCUCACGCGAUGCUGUCGACUAAAUUUAGUUGACAUGAGCGUCGCUAAGGCCCUUAUGAGCGAGGGUAUUCGCGCGUGGACUAAGAAUAGUUUUGUCAUAUAAGGUUCAGUACCCGGCGCCUCCACCAAAAACCGGCGGUCUUAAAGGCCGGCUUUUGAUGGGGGCGAAACAGGAUCGACAAGGGUGUAAAGAUCGUCUUUUUGCUCGGCAUUGUACCGCCGUUAUCGGGCUAAAAUUGUAGUUGCAAACGACAACUAUGCGGAAGCUCGUCUCGCUGCUUAAUUGCGGUGUGACACUUCAAUCAAAGUCCUAGUGGUUCGCACCUCUAGGCGGGGUCCGAAGGCACCUGGCAACAGAAGCCUUCACC
rnacentral:tmRNA from 1 species